rnacentral:rRNA from 1 species
GAUGAACGCUGGCGGCGUGCCUAAUACAUGCAAGUCGAGCGAACGGACGAGAAGCUUGCUUUUCUGAUGUUAGCGGCGGACGGGUGAGUAACACGUGGAUAACCUACCUAUAAGACUGGGAUAACUUCGGGAAACCGGAGCUAAUACCGGAUAAUAUUUUGAACCGCAUGGUUCAAAAGUGAAAGACGGUCUUGCUGUCACUUAUAGAUGGAUCCGCGCUGCAUUAGCUAGUUGGUAAGGUAACGGCUUACCAAGGCAACGAUGCAUAGCCGACCUGAGAGGGUGAUCGGCCACACUGGAACUGGGACACGGUCCAGACUCCUACGGGAGGCAGCAGUAGGGAAUCUUCCGCAAUGGGCGAAAGCCUGACGGAGCAACGCCGAGUGAGUGAUGAAGGUCUUCGGAUCGUAAAACUCUGUUAUUAGGGAAGAACAUAUGUGUAAGUAACUGUGCACAUCUUGACGGUACCUAAUCAGAAAGCCACGGCUAACUACGUG